rnacentral:rRNA from 1 species
UGCCAGACUCCUACGGGAGGCAGCAGUGAGGAAUAUUGGUCAAUGGACGAGAGUCUGAACCAGCCAAGUAGCGUGAAGGAUGACUGCCCUAUGGGUUGUAAACUUCUUUUAUAUGGGAAUAAAAUGUUCCACGUGUGGGAUUUUGUAUGUACCAUAUGAAUAAGGAUCGGCUAACUCCGUGCCAGCAGCCGCGGUAAUACGGAGGAUCCGAGCGUUAUCCGGAUUUAUUGGGUUUAAAGGGAGCGUAGGUGGAUUGUCAAGUCAGUUGUGAAAGUUUGCGGCUCAACCGUAAAAUUGCAGUUGAAACUGGCAGUCUUGAGUACAGUAGAGGUGGGCGGAAUUCGUGGUGUAGCGGUGAAAUGCUUAGAUAUCACGAAGAACUCCGAUUGCGAAGGCAUCUGACGAAUCGGAGAUUGACGCUGAUGCACGAAAGCGUGGGUAUCGAACAGGAUUAGAUACCCCCGUAGUA